rnacentral:tRNA from 1 species
GCCCCGGUAGCUCAGUUUGGAUAGAGCACUUGCCUCCUAAGCAAGGGGUCGGGGGUUCAAAUCCUCCCCGGGGCG